rnacentral:rRNA from 1 species
CCCUUAGAUGUUCUGGGCCGCACGCGCGCUACACUGAUGCAUUCAACGAGCCUAGCCUUGACCGAGAGGUCCGGGUAAUCUUUGAAACUGCAUCGUGAUGGGGCUAGAUUAUUGCAAUUAUUAAUCUUCAACGAGGAAUGCCUAGUAAGCGUGAUUCAUCAAAUCGCGUUGAUUACGUCCCUGCCCUUUGUACACACCGCCCGUCGCUACUACCGAUUGAAUGGUUUAGUGAGGACUCCUGAUUGGCGCCGCCGCCCCGGCAACGGAGCAGCGGACUGCCGAAAAGUUGUUCAAACUUGAUCAUUUAGAGGAAGUAAAAGUCGUAACA